rnacentral:lncRNA from 1 species
AAGUUUCAAAGGAUAAACACCAAUAUCGAAAAUGGCGAACAUACACGAGAAGAGGAAGGAGAAAUAAGCAAGCAAAAAUGAGAAGAGACAAAACUGCAUCUUCGAAAGAACUAAGGUAUUUCCGACUUGAAAUUUUUUAAAUCAGACUUGAAAUCUUCAUAGGAAAUUACUAAGAAAUAAAAACGCCUCUGAGACUGCCAUAGAACUUUAGGAAACGUAAAACUGAAUUAAGUCUUUGGC